rnacentral:rRNA from 1 species
AUUGAACGCUGGCGGCAGGCCUACCACAUGCAAGUCGAGCGAGCGGCGGACGGGUGAGUAAUGUAUGGGGACUGCCAGCUCGAGGGGGAUAACUACUUGACACGGUGGCUAAUACCGCAUACUAUCGGAUAACCCAUAUGGGAUUAGCUAGUAGGUGGGGUAAAGGCGCACCGAGGCUACGAUAUCUGGCUGGUAUGAGAGGAGGAUCAGCCACACUGGGACUGAGACACGGCCCAGACUCCUACGGAGGCAGCAGGGGGUAAUAUUGCACAAUGGGCGCAAGCCUGAUGCAGCCAUGCCGCGUGUAUGAAGAAGUCCUUAGGGUUGUAAAGUACUUUCAGCGGGGAGGCGUUACCCGCAGAAGAAGCACCGGCUAACUCCGUGCCAGCAGCCGCGGUAAUUC